GACGAACGCUGGCGGCGUGCUUAACACAUGCAAGUCGAACGAAGUGGCGAACGGGUGAGUAAUACGUGGGUAACCUGCCCUCCUUUUUGGGAUAAGCCUUGGAAACGGGGUCUAAUACCGAAUAAAGGGGGAUGGGCUCGCGGCCUAUCAGCUUGUUGGUGGGGUGAUGGCCUACCAAGGCGGUGACGGGUAGCCGGCCUGAGAGGGUGACCGGCCACAUUGGGACUGAGACACGGUCCAAACUCCUACGGGAGGCAGCAGUGAGGAAUAUUGGUCAAUGGGCGCUAGCCUGAACCAGCCAAGUAGCGUGAAGGAUGAAGGCUUAUGGGUCGUAAACUUCUUUUAUAUAAGAAUAUGUAUUAUAUGAAUAAGGAUCGGCUAACUCCGUGCCAGCAGCCGCGGUAAUAC
rnacentral:rRNA from 1 species